rnacentral:rRNA from 1 species
CCUACGGGUGGCAGCAGUGAGGAAUAUUGGUCAAUGGUCGUAAUCCUGAACCAGCCAAGCCGCGUGCGGGAUGACGGCCCUAUGGGUUGUAAACCGCUUUUGUCCGGGGAUAAAAUCCGUCACGUGUCAUGGACUGUAUGUAUCGCAUGAAAAAGCAUCGGCUAAUUCCGUGCCAGCAGCCGCGGUAAUACGGAGGAUGCGAGCGUUAUCCGGAUUUAUUGGGUUUAAAGGGUGCGUAGGCGGAAUGCCAAGUGAGCGGUAAAAUCCCGGGGCUCAACCUCGGUCCGCGGUGGAAACUGGCUGUCUUGAGUGGGCGAAAAGUAUGCGGAAUGCGUGGUGUAGCGGUGAAAUGCAUAGAUAUCACGAAGAACUCCGAUUGCGAAGGCAGCAUACGGGAGCGCUACUGACGCUGAAGCACGAAAGCGUGGGUAUCGAACAGGAUUAGAUACCCUAGUAGUC